rnacentral:rRNA from 1 species
AGCGAACGUUAGCGGCGGGCCUAACACAUGCUAGUCGUGCGAGAAAGUCGGCUUCGGUCGGCGAGUAAAGCGGCGCACGGGUGAGUAACACGUGGAUAAUCUGCCCUUCGGUGGGGGAUAACUUUCCGAAAGGAUUGCUAAUACCGCAUAAGACCACGUCCUCUUCGGGGGAUGAGGUCAAAGACGGCCUCUUCAUGAAAGCUGUCGUCGAAGGAUGAGUCCGCGGCCCAUCAUGCUAGUUGGUAGGGUAACGGCCUACCAAGGCGAAGACGGGUAGCUGGUCUGAGAGGAUGACCAGCCACACUGGAACUGAGACACGGUCCAGACUCCUACGGGAGGCAGCAGUGGGGAAUAUUGGGCAAUGGGCGAAAGCCUGACCCAGCCACGCCGCGUGAGUGAUGAAGGCCUUCGGGUCGUAAAGCUCUGUGGGGAGGGAAGAAACCUUCGAGGGAACAAUACCCCUCGGACUUGACGGUACCUCCUUAGCAAGCACCGGCUAACUCCGUGCCAGCAGCCGCGGUAAUACGGAGGGUGCAAACGUUGCUCGGAAUCAUUGGGCGUAAAGCGUGUGUAGGCGGCCUGUUAAGUCGGGUGUGAAAGCCCCGGGCUCAACCCGGGAAGUGCAUUCGAUACUGGCAGGCUUGAGUACGGGAGAGGGUCGCGGAAUUCCCGGUGUAGAGGUGAAAUUCGUAGAUAUCGGGAGGAACACCAGUGGCGAAGGCGGCGACCUGGACCGAUACUGACGCUGAGACACGAAAGCGUGGGGAGCAAACAGGAUUAGAUACCCUGGUAGUCCACGCUGUAAACGAUGGGUGCUAGGUGUCGUGGGUAUUGACCCCUGCGGUGCCGAAGUUAACGCAUUAAGCACCCCGCCUGGG